UACGGAGGGUGCAAGCGUUAUCCGGAUUUACUGGGUUUAAAGGGUGCGCAGGCGGAUAUGUAAGUCAGUGGCGAAAUCUCUGGGCUUAACCCGGAAAUUGCCAUUGAUACUAUAUAUCUUGAAUGCUGUGGAGGUAAGCGGAAUAUGUCAUGUAGCGGUGAAAUGCUUAGAGAUGACAUAGAACACCUAAUUGCGAAGGCA
rnacentral:rRNA from 1 species